rnacentral:sRNA from 1 species
UCCGUAGGUGAACCUGCGGAAGGAUCAUUACUGAUUUGCUUAAUUGCACCACAUGUGUUUUUCUUUGAAACAAACUUGCUUUGGCGGUGGGCCCAGCCUGCCGCCUGUGGUCUAAACUUACAACCAAUUUUUUAUCAACUUGUCACACCAGAUUAUUACUAAUAGUCAAAACUUUCAACAACGGAUCUCUUGGUUCUCGCAUCGAUGAAGAACGCAGCGAAAUGCGAUACGUAAUAUGAAUUGCAGAUAUUCGUGAAUCAUCGAAUCUUUGAACGCACAUUGCGCCCUCUGGUAUUCCGGAGGGCAUGCCUGUUUGAGCGUCGUUUCUCCCUCAAACCGCUGGGUUUGGUGUUGAGCAAUACGACUUGGGUUUGCUUGAAAGACGGUAGUGGUAAGGCGGGAUCGCUUUGACAAUGGCUUAGGUCUAACCAAAAACAUUGCUUGCGGCGGCAACGUCUACCACGUAUAUCUUCAAACUUUGACCUCAAAUCAGGUAGGACUACCCGCUGAACUUAAGCAUAUCAAUAAGCGGAGGAAAAGA